AGAAUCAACGCUGGCGGCGUGCCUCAGACAUGCAAGUCGAACGAUUAAACUUUCCUUCGGGAAAGAUAUAAAGUGGCGCACGGGUGAGUAACACGUAAGUAAUCUACCUUCGAGUGGGGAAUAACCCGGGGGAAACCCGAGCUAAUACCGCAUAAUGCAGCGGCAUCGCAAGAUGACAGUUGUUAAAGGAUUUAUUCGCUUGAAGAGGAGCUUGCGGCAGAUUAGCUUGUGGUAAGGUAACGGCUUACCAAGGCUACGAUCUGUAACCGGUCUAAGAGGACGGUCGGUCACACUGACACUGAAUAAACGGGUCAAGACCUCCCUAACGGGAAGGCAGCGAAGUCGGGAAAUUUUGGGCAAAUAGGGCGAAAAGCCUAGGACCCCAGGACAACCGCCGG
rnacentral:rRNA from 1 species